CUUGGUCAUUUAGAGGAAGUAAAAGUCGUAACAAGGUUUCCGUAGGUGAACCUGCGGAAGGAUCAUUACCUAGAGUUGUAGGCUUUGCCUGCUAUCUCUUACCCAUGUCUUUUGAGUACCUUCGUUUCCUCGGCGGGUCCGCCCGCCGAUUGGACAACUUAAACCAUUUGCAGUUGCAAUCAGCGUCUGAAAAAACUUAAUAGUUACAACUUUCAACAACGGAUCUCUUGGUUCUGGCAUCGAUGAAGAACGCAGCGAAAUGCGAUAAGUAGUGUGAAUUGCAGAAUUCAGUGAAUCAUCGAAUCUUUGAACGCACAUUGCGCCCCUUGGUAUUCCAUGGGGCAUGCCUGUUCGAGCGUCAUUUGUACCUUCAAGCUCUGCUUGGUGUUGGGUGUUUGUCUCGCCUCUGCGCGUAGACUCGCCUCAAAACAAUUGGCAGCCGGCGUAUUGAUUUCGGAGCGCAGUACAUCUCGCGCUUUGCACUCAUAACGACGACGUCCAAAAGUACAUUUUUACACUCUUGACCUCGGAUCAGGUAGGGUUUCCCUCUGAACUUAAGCAUAUCAAUAAGCGGAGGA
rnacentral:rRNA from 1 species